AGAGUUUGAUCCUGGCUCAGAAUGAACGCUGGCGGCAUGCCUAACACAUGCAAGUCGAACGAAGGCUUCGGCCUUAGUGGCGCACGGGUGCGUAACGCGUGGGAAUCUGCCCCUUGGUUCGGAAUAACAGUUGGAAACGACUGCUAAUACCGGAUGACGACGUAAGUCCAAAGAUUUAUCGCCGAGGGAUGAGCCCGCGUAGGAUUAGGUAGUUGGUGUGGUAAAGGCGCACCAAGCCGACGAUCCUUAGCUGGUCUGAGAGGAUGAUCAGCCACACUGGGACUGAGACACGGCCCAGACUCCUACGGGAGGCAGCAGUGGGGAAUAUUGGACAAUGGGCGAAAGCCUGAUCCAGCAAUGCCGCGUGAGUGAUGAAGGCCUUAGGGUUGUAAAGCUCUUUUACCCGGGAUGAUAAUGACAGACCGGGAGAA
rnacentral:rRNA from 1 species